CCUUUGUAACACCAGAUCAUUUUUUAAAUUUUGUUUCAAUGGUGAUUUACAGUUUUACCGGGCUUUUUCAAUGUAAAAAAAAAGCCACACUAGAGUGUUGCUUACUGUGCUCCAGGCUGCAACAACAAGCGCCUGGAAGUAAAGUGGCUGCUACCGAAACCAAAACUUGCGCGUGUUAAAUUUGGAUCCCGAUGAUCAGAUCCGAAACCAAAUUUUUCCAAACUAUUCCAAUAAAAAAAUUGUUGGGACCGGUUCUCGAUGCCCAAUCCUAGUGACAGCAGAGGUUGUGUUUUAUUUGGGGGUAUUUGCCCUGGAUCUGGACCAUGGGUGGACAACCCUUCAUCAGAACAGUGGGGAUUAGGGGGCAUGUUCUGUGAAUGAGGCCUGGAAGCAGCAACCAGUAAGAUGGGUACGCUGGAUGAGCAGGGGGCAUGGAGGUCAACAGGGGGCAAACAGUGGGUGUGGGCCAGGGUGAUAGCAUUUUAGACUAAAGCGUGGUUUAUGCUUCUGCUUACAGAAGUUUGUUUCUCUCACUAUGACUCUAGAGUCACUACUCACUCUGAAGCUAAUCACCAUCACUCUCUCACUCACUCUACCACACACACACACACACACACACACACACACACACACACACAUGCCAAAGAGAUCGACGCACACACCAACGCAAAAAGUAUAAACUUAAGGCCACUUACGUAUGCUCCGCCGAAAGCUCUGCGUGGAGCAUCCGCAGAAGCAUAAAUCACGCUUUAGGCCGUGUGCAUGGACAGGUUCAAAAGUGCCAUCCAGUUCUAAUAUAAUGAUGAGUUUUUGUCACAUAAUUGACUAAAUGCCUAUUCCAAGUUGCUGCUCUCUUGGAGGAAACAGCAUACAUUACCUCAAAUAGUAUCAUAAACUGAGGGGCAAAUUUACAAAGAAUUGCCCUUUUUUCUGAUUUCAAUUAUCCAUGUGGCAAAGUAUAAAUGUGGCCUUUGUGCCAAGAACAAAGUCAGCAGAACAAUAGCAGAGAGAAAAGGAAAAAUAAAAUGUUAAGACCGCGAGCUACAGGUCCUGACAGAAGAGUUGCUGCGGCAUUCCUCAAAACUUUAGGCAAGGAAUUUAAAGGUGACAGAGAGAUUAAAUAUCCCAGCCUGUCAGUGCUGUUUUUGUUUUCAAAUGCACACCUUCUGACUGAAAAGGAAGAGGACUUAAAGCAGAGGACACUAGACAGUGGGCAACAGUUUACGUCCUCUUGCCUGUUUACGGCUUUGGGUCAGCUCUGUGCGUUGCUGUUCUGUAAUUCUAACUAGUCAGCAAAUAAAUGGACAAACGGUAACUGCUUCAAACGAGGAUUCUUUACUUGCAGAAUUUCAGGCGUGAACAGGCAUUGCAUCUCAAAAAAAACCUUGCUCUUUUUUUCAUUUACGUCAAUUCCUAAACGUAAUCCGCACUGCAUUAUGGGCAAUGUAGUAUUACUCAAUGUAACCUUUUAAUCAACAAUUUACAUCAAUAAGGAAUGACGCAUUUAUGUAUCUCCUUGAACAUAUUCAAUCAGUAACUCAAAUUCAAAGUGCUUAACACCCCUAACAAUAAACAUUAAGUUGCAACAGUUGCUAUGGUUGUUGUACACAAACCCACUAGCCAAAAGUUUGCAAGGCAGAGAUGCAUGCCCAGAAGAAAAAUCCCAGAUGUCUGCUUCAGUUACCACUUACUCUCUGAGGACGCUAAUAAUUUCCUUUUAACUGUACGUGUCCACAGGGGCGUUUGUGUGUAGUGAAGUGUAUAUUUAUUGAGUUCCAAAGAAUCAAACAAUCAACGAUGAAGGUCAUAAUAUAAAUAUGUACUUCUUACCAACUUCAACACUCAAUACAGAACACAUUCUCCACACACACAAGAGAACCAAAAAAUAACAAAAUUAUAGAUUUCAAAACAGACCAACAUGGCGGCUCG